GAUAAUCCCGUACAUGGCAUGGAGCGCCCGCUGCUUUGUGAUACGCUUUCUAAGAGUCGAGUUGUUUGGGAAUGCAGCUCAAAAUGGGUGGUAAAUGCCAUCUAAGGCUAAAUAUUGGGGAGAGACCGAUAGCGAACAAGUACAGUGAUGGAAAGAUGAAAAGAACUUUGAAAAGAGAGUUAAACAGUACGUGAAAUUGCCAAAAGGGAAGGGUAGGAGGUCAGAGAUGCGGCCUGGGAUUCAGCCUUGCUUUUGCUUGGUGUUUUUCCCAGAUUGCAGGCCAACGUCGGUUUUGGGCACUGGAGAAGGGUAGGAGGAACGUGGCACCUCUCGGGGUGUGUUAUAGCCUCCUACUGGAUACAGCGACCGAGACCGAGGACAGCAGCGUACUCGCAAGAGCGGGCCUUCGGGCACCUUUACGCUUAGGGCGUUGGCAUAAUGGCCCUCUACCACCCGUCUUGAAACAACGGACC
rnacentral:rRNA from 1 species